rnacentral:rRNA from 1 species
AUGAUUUUUAAUAGAAAGAAACUUUAUGAUCCGAUUCUGCUGGUGAAACUAAUGUGUAAUUGGAUCUCUGAUUGGUCCAUUCUGAAGCUAAAGGACGCAAAGGCAAAAAUAUUGAUGUUGGGACCAAGACUAGUCGAGCACGUGGCAAGUGAAGUGUUUCAUGUUUCGCAGGGAUGGAGACCUGGAGUCCCUCGACUUGGUGGCUACUUCCAGAGAGGCGGAGAUGUGAAGUUGGUUGUUGGUUGUUUUGUUGGCUCUAGGUUGCUUUGUGCUAGUGUUCCUUUUGUGUUGGUUGUUGCAAAAACUGGUUGA